rnacentral:pre_miRNA from 1 species
GUAUUGCUAGGAGUUCCCUUUAAACACUUUAUGAAGCACCUUUUUGAGAGCUUAUGUGAAGUGUUUGGGGGAACUCUUAGUGUAAU